GCAUGGCAGAAGUCUGUGUUAUAUUUGUUGGUAGUUUACAUAGCCAGACACCGUGCAAAAAAAAAAAAGAAAGAGCAGUCUUCCCUUUAAAGUGGUUAUGAUGGUAUGCUACCUUUUCUUGUCGCAUGUCGUUACUGAAGGGAAAUACAAAU